UACAGAGGUGGCAAGCGUUGUUCGGAAUUACUGGGCGUAAAGGGCGCGUAGGCGGUCCUACAAGUCCCGCGUGAAAGCCCCCGGCUCAACUGGGGAACUGCGCGGGAAACUGUAGGGCUUGAGUUUGGGAGAGGGAUGCGGAAUUCCAGGUGUAGCGGUGAAAUGCGUAGAUAUCUGGAGGAACACCGGUGGCGAAGGCGGCAUCCUGGACCAACACUGACACUGAUGAGCGAAAGCCAGGGGAGCAAACGGG
rnacentral:rRNA from 1 species